UACGUAGGGGGCAAGCGUUAUCCGGAUUUACUGGGUGUAAAGGGAGCGCAGACGGCAUAGCAAGUCUGAUGUGAAAUGCGGGGGCUUAACCCCCGAGCUGCAUUGGAAACUGUUAAGCUGGAGUGCCGGAGGGGUAAGCGGAAUUCCUAGUGUAGCGGUGAAAUGCGUAGAUAUUAGGAGGAACACCAGUGGCGAAGGCGGCUUACUGGACGGUAACUGACGUUGAGGCUCGAAAGCGUGGGGAG
rnacentral:rRNA from 1 species